rnacentral:lncRNA from 1 species
CUUGCAGGGCUCUCGGAGCUUCCAGACAUCUCCAGUCCCCGUGACACUUGCAGGGCUCCGAGCCAGGGACAUCGCUGGGCACCGUGGUGCCUUUAAUAUUUCGUGCUGUUCUCGCAGUGCUGGGUUGAUUGCAGUGGGGACAAGCACAGCUGUGACUUCUGGGGCUGCUGCAAUAGCCGACAAUUUCUAAACGUGUUCUGCUCUUAUUGCUUUCUCUGAUGUUUGCCGUUCUCUGUAGCUCACCCCUAAUCCCCAGCAGAAGCCCUGCCAUUAUUGCCAGCGGUGUGAUAGGUAAUGUAGCAGGGGCACCGCGAUGUCAAGAUCUAUUGAAGUGUUAAUAAAAGGGCUUAAUGUGGAGGAAAGGAAAUCCUGCACCUACAGAGACCUUGCCGAAGCAUCUCAUCUAAUUAACCUCGGAGGUGAUCGCUUACAGCAGCGUUGCGUGCCAGCAAAGAGCCCAAAAAUAGGCUCCAUCCAAAUGCAGCAAGAAGCCACGUGGCUCCCCCCUCUUUGUAAAGUCUGGCAAGACCUGCUGCUGAGAGGGGCUAGCACAGAGCUCGUUUGAGCUAUUAUUACCUGCACAGAAGUUUGACUGAAACUGCAGGAACAUCGUUCUGGGUCCUGUAUGGGUAUCUGGAGAAAUUCCAUGCUUCCAGAUAAGGACAUGCCACACUUACAGUUGCCUACCACCAUUAACACAUCCUCUUCUGCGUGGUCACGUGAAGGUUGCCAGCAUGGGUGGAGAGCUCUGCUGGAGAGCAAGGAGGGAAGCUGCACGCAGUCCCCUGCAAAUGCUGUAAAGAGCGGUCAGAGGUCCCCCUAUCAACUGCAGCCCAGCUGCAGCAAGACAGCCUGCUCCCAGUGGCCUUGGCUCCCACAGAUGCACGAGAACCAGGCUGGCUGUGUGCUCCAGGUGGAGGAACAAAGGAGCCUUUCAUCUGCUCCUGCAGAGCAGGCUGGUGGCCAGCCCCUGUGUGGUGCCUGGUUCCCUCUGCUGCAGCAGGGAGGUGGGAGGUGAGUGAUGAACCUGGCAAAAACCGACUGUGCUGUCCCCAGGGGUCAGCCUAGGGUGGAAAAAUGGUUGGGUGGGCUGCUCCAGCGCUGCCUGCUGGGCUCAAACCUGCUUGGGAGGAGCUGGGGCUGCAGCUGGGGAGAAGUGGGGAGGUGGUGGCUUUCCAAGAGCUGCCCCUGUCCCCGUGCUCCUGAAUGAACGUGGGACCAGAGGGUUUGAAACCCAGCUCUGUAGCUUUGAGCCCUGCUCUGGCUCCUCGCAGCAUUCCUGGUGUCCCAAGCAGCAGGAAUGGGCCCUGCUGCUUCUGUUAGCCAUCAGAUUGCUGCUGCAUGUUUCUCUGUCAGCGCGUGGGCUCGCUGGGCAGCCCUGGGGACACGCUGUAAUUUGGGGUCCCUAAGAGAGAGGCGUUCCCGUGAGACACAUUAAAGCCAGCUGCUUUCUCAAGUGCUCCCUUGGGCUGCACACCCUUUGUGGUGCCCUUGGGCAUACGAGCCUGAAUCUGGGCCCUUCCCUUGUCCUUCACAAGGUCUCCUUCACUCCUGCAUUUACACCCUCGCUUCCUCCUGCUGCAGCAGCAUCCUGCCGUGUUGCUGUCCUCAGCUGCUCUGCCAGGGCCCAGGCUGUGCUGGGGUGGCCUCCCCUC